UAUCGGAUUACUGGGCGUAAGCGCACGCAGGCGGUCUGUUAAGUCAGAUGUGAAAUCCCCGGGCUCAACCCGGGAACUGCAUUUGAAACUGGCAGGCUUGAGUCUCGUAGAGGGGGGUAGAAUUCCAGGUGUAGCGGUGAAAUGCGUAGAGAUCUGGAGGAAUACCGGUGGCGAAGGCGGCCCCCUGGACGAAGACUGACGCUCAGGUGCGAAAGCGUGGGGAGCAAACAGGAUUAGAUACCCUGGUAGUCCACGCCGUAAACGAUGUCGACUUGGAGGUUGUGCCCUUGAGGCGUGGCUUCCGGAGCUAACGCGUUAAGUCGACCGCCUGGGGAGUACGGCCGCAAGGUUAAAACUCAAAUGAAUUGACGGGGGCCCGCACAAGCGGUGGAGCAUGUGGUUUAAUUCGAUGCAACGCGAAGAACCUUACCUGGCCUUGACAUCCAGAGAACUUUCCAGAGAUGGAUUGGUGCCUUCGGGAACUCUGAGACAGGUGCUGCAUGGCUGUCGUCAGCUCGUGUUGUGAAAUGUUGGGUUAAGUCCCGCAACGAGCGCAACCCUUAUCCUUUGUUGCCAGCGGUUAGGCCGGGAACUCAAAGGAGACUGCCGGUGAUAAACCGGAGGAAGGUGGGGAUGACGUCAAGUCAUCAUGGCCCUUACGGCCAGGGCUACACACGUGCUACAAUGGCGCAUACAAAGAGAAGCGACCUCGCGAGAGCAAGCGGACCUCAUAAAGUGCGUCGUAGUCCGGAUUGGAGUCUGCAACUCGACUCCAUGAAGUCGGAAUCGCUAGUAAUCGUGGAUCAGAAUGCCACGGUGAAUACGUUCCCGGGCCUUGUACACACCGCCCGUCACACCAUGGGAGUGGGUUGCAAAAGAAGUAGUAGCUUAACCUUCCGGAGGCGCUACCACUUUGUGAUCAUGACUGGGUG
rnacentral:rRNA from 1 species